rnacentral:rRNA from 1 species
UACGGGGGGGGCAAGCGUUGUUCGGAAUUACUGGGCGUAAAGGGCUCGUAGGUGGCCAACUAAGUCAGACGUGAAAUCCCUCGGCUUAACCGGGGAACUGCGUCUGAUACUGGAUGGCUUGAGUUUGGGAUAGGAAUGCGGAAUUCCAGGUGUAGCGGUGAAAUGCGUAGAUAUCUGGAGGAACACCGGUGGCGAAGGCGGCAUUCUGGACCAAUACUGACGCUGAGGAGCGAAAGCCAGGGGAGCAAACGGG